CUCUAUAACCAUGUGUGAACGUACCUAUCUUGUAGUGAGAUGAAUGCUGUUUUGGUGGUAGGGCCCUUCUGAAGAGAGGGCACCGCUGCCAGCAGUAUAGUCUCACCACUAUAAAACUCUUUUAUUAUUUUCUAGAUUUUUCAUUGCUGAGUGGCAUAACUAUAAAAAAGUUAAAACUUUCAACAACGGAUGCGAAAUGCGAUAAGUAAUGUGAAUUGCAGAAUUCAGUGAAUCAUCGAAUCUUUGAACGCACAUUGCGCCUGGCAGUAUUCUGCCAGGCAUGCCUGUCCGAGCGUCAUUUCACCACUCAAGACUCUUUUGUUCUUGGCGUUGGAGGUCCUGUUCUCCCCUGAACAGGCCGCCGAAAUGUAUCGGCUGUUAUACUUGCCAACUCCCCUGUG
rnacentral:misc_RNA from 1 species